rnacentral:rRNA from 1 species
AUGAGGAUCAUGAUUAAGGGCGGGGUGUGGAAGAACACCGAGGAUGAGAUCCUCAAGGCGGCCGUGAUGAAGUACGGUAAGAACCAGUGGGCGCGCAUCUCCUCGCUGCUCGUCCGCAAGUCCGCCAAGCAGUGCAAGGCCCGCUGGUACGAGUGGCUCGACCCCUCCAUCAAGAAGACUGAGUGGACAAGGGAAGAGGAUGAGAAGCUGCUCCAUCUUGCUAAGCUCAUGCCUACUCAGUGGAGGACUAUUGCACCUAUUGUGGGUCGAACACCAUCCCAGUGUCUCGAGCGAUAUGAAAAAUUGCUUGAUGCUGCCUGUGCAAAGGAUGAGAAUUAUGAGCCUAAUGAUGACCCAAGAAAGUUGCGACCUGGGGAGAUUGAUCCAAACCCUGAGUCAAAACCUGCACGUCCAGAUCCUGUUGACAUGGACGAAGAUGAAAAGGAAAUGCUUUCUGAGGCAAGGGCUCGCUUAGCUAACACCAGGGGUAAAAAGGCAAAACGGAAGGCAAGAGAGAAACAACUUGAAGAGGCGAGGCGGCUUGCAUCACUGCAAAAAAGGAGGGAACUGAAGGCAGCUGGUAUUGACAACCGGCACAAAAAAAGAAAGAGAAAGGGAAUUGACUAUAAUGCGGAGAUCCCUUUUGAAAAGAGACCCCCUCCAGGCUUUUAUGAUACAGUGGGCGAGGACAGGCCACUUGAGCAUGUGCAGUUUCCAACUACCAUUGAGGAGCUUGAAGGGAGGAGAAGAGUGGAUGUAGAGGCUCAAUUAAGAAAGCAAGACAUCGCCAAGAACAAGAUUCUGCAGAGGCAGGAUGCUCCUGCCGCAAUAAUGCAAGCAAAUAAACUCAAUGACCCAGAAGCUGUCACAAGAAGGUCCAAACUAAUGCUUCCACCACCCCAAAUUUCGGACCAUGAAUUGGAGGAGAUCGCAAAGAUGGGCAAUGCCGGUGAUCCUGCUCUAGCUGAGGAGCUUGGUGAAGGAAGUACUGCCACCAGGACACUGCUUGCAAAUUAUUCCCAGACUCCAAGGCUUGGUAUGACACCAUUGCGAACGCCGCAACGAACGCCAGGUGGGAAAGGUGAUGCUAUUAUGAUGGAGGCAGAGAAUCUUGCACGUUUAAGGGAAUCACAAACACCUCUUUUAGGAGGCGAUAACCCAGAGCUUCACCCAUCAGAUUUCUCAGGCGUUACACCACGUAAGAAAGAGAUACAGACUCCGAAUCCCAUGGCAACGCCUCUGGCUAGCCCUGGCCCUGGUGUUACCCCAAGGAUUGGUUUGACACCGUCCAGAGAUGGAAAUUCCUUUGGGUUAACUCCAAAAGGAACCCCUUUCAGGGAUGAGCUUCACAUAAAUGAAGAGGUGGAAAUGCAAGACAGCGCUCAGCUUGAGCUUCGUAGGCAAGCAGAGUUAAGAAGAGGUCUGCGGUCUGGUUUUGCUUCUAUUCCACAGCCUAAGAAUGAGUACCAGAUAGUUAUGCCACCUAUCACAGAGGAGAAGGAAGAAGCUGAAGAGAGAAUUGAAGAGGAUAUGUCAGACAGGUUAGCACGAGAAAGGGCUGAGGAACAAGCAAGGCAGGAGGCAUUGCUCAGAAAGAGGUCCAAAGUGUUGCAGAGGAGUUUGCCUAGGCCACCUGCUGCUUCAGUGGAGAUUCUCCGGCAAUCUCUUAUUAAAGGUGGUGAAAGCAGAAGUACCUUUGUGCCUCCUACAUCACUUGAACAAGCUGACGAGCUAAUAAAUGAGGAACUCCUGAGGCUCCUUGAGCAUGAUAAUGCUAAAUAUCCUCUUGAUGAACAAACUCAAAGAGAGAAAAAGAAAGGGAGCAAGCGUCAGGCAAAUGGGGCAGCUUUCAUCCCUGAAAUCGAAGGUUUUGAUGAGCAUGAACUAAAAGAGGCAAGUUUUAUGGUUGAGGAGGAGAUUCAGUAUCUUCGUGUGGCCAUGGGCCAUGAAAAUGAAUCUUUUGAGGAUUUUGUGAAGUCACAUGAUGCAUGCCAAGAGGACCUUAUGUUUUUCCCUACUAACAACAGCUAUGGUCUUGCCAGUGUUGCUGGAAAUGCUGAUAAAAUUUCUGCUUUGCAACAUGAGUUUGAAAUGGUAAAGAAGAGAAUGGAUGAUGAGGCAAAGAAAGCUUCUCGGCUUGAGCAGAAGAUCAAACUGCUGACACAAGGAUACCAGGCACGAGCUGCAAAAUUGGGGUCACAGAUCCAGGACACCUUCAAGCAGAUGAACACUGCAGCCACAGAACUUGAAUGCUUCCAAGAGUUGCAGAAACAAGAACAGAUGGCUGGUGCCUAUCGUGUGAGAAAUUUGUCUGAAGAAGUGAAUAAACAGAAAGCGUUGGAACAGACUCUCCAGAGCCGCUAUGGUGAUCUGUUGUCUGGUUACCAGAGCAUCCAUGGACAACUUGAGGAGCACAAGAGGCUACUUAAGCUACAGGAGGAGGCAAUAGAGGCAGAAAACCGUGCUAAGGAGGAGGCAAUAGAGGCAGAAAACCGUGCUAAGGAGGAGGCAUUAGAGGCAGAAAACCGUGCUAAGGCGGAGGCAAUAGAGGCAGAAAACCGUGCCAAGGAGGAGGCAUUAGAGGCAGAAAACCGUGCUAAGGAGGAGGCAAUAGAGGCAGAAAACCGUGCCAAGGAGGAGGCAUUAGAGGCAGAAAACCGUGCUAAGGAGGAGGAAGCUGCAGCUCGAAAUCGUGCUGCUGAGGAAGAAAAUGAGAGGAAGAAUCAUGCCAUUCAAGAGGAAUCAGGACAGACAACUAAGGUUACUGAUGAAGAAGCUGCAGGAAGAAAAGAAAUCAAUGGAGAUCAGAUGGAUAUGGACAGUGCAGAUGUCGCUGGAGAACUUGUAGGUCCAAUUCCUCCAUUGCCUGACACAGUGGAUAACGAUGGGGCUUCAAUUGAACAGAGUACUUCUAACGCUCAGAGUGGUGACACCGUUACUGUGAAUGAGGGAGCCAUUGACAAGGUCGAUUCAUCCAAAUUAGAUGGCCAGGACAAUACCAGUUGUAGCAUGGAUAUUGAUGCUGGUAGCCAGGAAGAGGGAAAAAAUGUUCUCGCGGCUGCUGCUACAAGUGUAGAUGUAGGGAACACACCUGUAUCUUCAGAUCAAGCUGUCUCGAAUGAAGGGAGUGAUGCGGUUCACGCACCUGUAUCUUCAGAUCAAGCUGUCUCGAAUGAAGGGAGUGACGCUGUUCACGCACCUGUAUCUUCGGAUCAAGCUGCGCCAAAUGAAGAGAGUGGCAUGGUUCCUGAAUAA